rnacentral:tRNA from 1 species
GUUUCUAAAGGAUAACAGUCAUCCGCUGGUCUUAGGAACCAAAAAC